CAUUAUUAUUUUUAAUAGUUAUUUCCCCAAUACAAUUUUUUUCUACUGUACAGCAUAGUGACCCAGUUACACAUAUAUGUAUACAUUCUAUUUUUGCACAUUAUCAUGCUCCAUCCCAUGUGGCUCACAGCAUAACUACUUGGCAUUGCUUCUACAGUGGCUGCGGUACAACUUGAUAUAUUUUGUAUGUACGUUUUACUGUCUAUUUUUCCCAUUGGCAUGCAAGCUCCUUGUGAACAGGGAUUUUGUCUGAUCAUUUCAUUGCUAUAAUCUCAGUGCUAAAAAGGAGCAUGGUAAACAGUAAGGGCACAAUUAAGAGUUAUUCACUUUAUGAAUGAGUACUAUUUGGGAAUAAUAAUACAACAACCCCAAUAAAAUGCAAAGCAUUUGUUUUUUUCGGGGUUUGUAUUUGCAUUUUUUUAACCUUUCAUUUAUUAUUUUUUCUACUAUACAUCAUGGUGACCCAGUUACACAUACAUGUAUACAUUCUUUUUUCUCACAUUAUCAUGCUCCAUUAUAACUCACUAAACAUAGUCCCCAGUGCUACACAGCAGGAUCUCAUUGCUAAUCCAUUCCAAAGGCAAGAGUACAUCUAUUAACCCCAAGCUCCCAGCCCAUCACACUCUCUCCCUCCCCCUUGGCAACCACAAGUCUAUUCUCCAUGUCCAUGGUUUUCUUUUCUGUAUAAAGGUUCAUUUGUGCCAUAUAUUAGAUUCCAGAUGUAAGUGAUAUCAUUUACUCCAAGUGUCAGGGCAAGUAUGCAGAGGAACCCAAACUGGCACCCACAUUCUCUGGCUCUACUUCCAGUUCCAGCUCCCCCUGAAAUGCUCCAUGAAUACCUCACCCUGUAGCAGACUCAAAGACUUGCCAGUGAGAUCUCCCCUCAAGAAGUGACUUCGUGUCCAGUUGCAAGGAAGGUGAGUUGCUAAUGGCCUUAUCAGUGGCUUCAUCAGGAUACCCCUUAGCUUGUAAACUGACUUUAAGCUGUUUGGUCACCAAUGACCAAGCAAGGGAGUGGCACAAGCACCUGGCCAUUUCCACUGAGACUAAGAUGCUUCUAGACAGUUUUCUUUGCUCCAAGGCUGCCCACUUUCCUGAGAGAGAUGUUCCCAGAUCUAAGCCACUUCCCACUUCCUCUCUUUUACUCUCACAGUUUCCUAUAUAAUAGACCUGUUGCACUAUAAUUUUCAUCUCAGCAUCCACCUCCCAGAAAAUACAAGCUAGCACACACCAACAUAAGAUACCCAAGGCACCCUAGGGAUAACAAUGGAUGGAAAGGGACCUCACCAGAUAUGCUUUAUCAUACAUUUCUAUCUAACUGAACAAAAAGGACAUCUAUUUCCUUCCUCACCUUCAUUUUCUGUCUUCUUUCAGAAGACCUAAGGACAAGGAAAAUCAGAACUCUUUCACUAUGGAAAACUCCAGGAGUGCAGAAGUUUAAGGAAGAGUAUGCACAUUCAAAAUCUAAUUCAAAGUUAAGUCACAAGAGUCUUUUAAUAAUUGAGUGACUUCCUGCCCUGGGAUGCAAAACACACUUCAAAAAGGAAUGGUACUGCAUGUUCUGACAUCAGUGAGGUGAGAAAACACCAUUUACUACAACCCACAUAGCUCUCAGAAGUUUGUGCUGAUACUAAAAAUCUCUCUUUUACAAGUUUAGCUGGAAAUAAUGACAGAUACAUUCAGAUGCCUCAACUAUAAAAUAGACAAUAAAAGUAAUACCUUCUUGUGUGAGGAUUAAAUGAGAUAAUACAUCGUAAAAAGCUUUGUACAAUAUUUAAUAAACAUUACUUGCUAUUAUUACACUAAAUAAAUGGAAUAAAAUAUUUUAAAAAAUAAUUAUUUCUAGGUUUUACUUUUAGUUUUAAGAAAAUGUCUAUGAUGAACUCCAGAAAGUUAUGUAGAAGUUGAUGCUUUUAUUUUACUCAGUGUGACUUUUCCCUUCAUUUCUUUAAGGGUUUUCUUAACAUACAUGAUCUCUUUCUCAAUUAAGUGGAUGAAUUAAUUAAUUAAUUGAAACACAUAGCAAAAAAAAAAGAAGAAGAAUAUGAAGCUAAAUAUACAUGUAUGCAAACAUGUAUGGAAACCAAUAUUCAUCUGUCUAAAGUACAUCAAAGGUAAACAUUUUCCAAUGCAUAGUCCUGAACUAGACAUGUAGCAAAUGCCAAUUUCUUUAUUUUGGUGGUUGUAUAGAGAGUUUAUAAGAGAAAUGUUGUUUGUGAGAUGUACAUUAAAAGUUUUCAGAGCUUUAGGAGGUAAACUCAUUUUCAAAUGGUUCCAGAAAGAAUUGUUCCUAU
rnacentral:lncRNA from 1 species